CGGGGAUGGGGGUUCCGGGAUCUGGCCCUGGGGAUUUGGGAUCAGGGAUCCAGGAUCCGGCCCUGGGGUCCCGUCCCACACAAAUCGAUAUUUUUUGGGGGGGAAAUACCGAUUUCUUCUUUUAUUACUUUUUUUUUUUUUUCGUUGUGUCUCCGGAAAGCCCCGUUUCCGGGUGUUUUCGCCCCAAAGGGUGCCGGCUGGGCACUUCUUUCCCCUAAUUUUAGUUGUAGGUGACGCUUUCCUGGGCUGGCUGCGUCUUUUGGGAAGUGUCAGAGGCAGGGACAAACGCCGAGACCUCUCCGUGCGCAGGAACACACUGACACCCCUUCAAAAGGAACAUAUGGCAUAUAUGAUAUAUAUUACCCUCUAAGAUAUACUAUAAUAUUAGCCCUCAAAAAUAAGUAAUCCAAACCGUGAUCAAAAAAAUAAGAAAAAAAUGGAAAAGCUGGGAAAUGUCAGCAGGUCACAACAGGCGCCCCACCUGGGCUGUGUCCCCAGGUGGUGUUUUAGCCAGAACCAGCUUUUGGGGGUCUGCUGAUAAAUACUGGCCUGGGACAGAGGCGUCCUCCGCAAUUCUGUGAUCUGCAGGAGAUGCUGGGAACGGUUACUCCCCCGUUUCUCCUUUUCCUUUCACUUAUCUGCAGCAGAUCCCUCUAAAAUGACUUGGAAAGAUUAUUACUAACUGAUGUGGCUGGUUUAGGACACGCAUAGCACAAGUCCUCCUGGAGAUGUGUCCUGCUUUUGCAAGAUUAUUUUUUUUUUUCAUGUUGUUUUGCGUCAGAGUGGAAGCUCAGAUUUUCCUUCGCAAGUUUUUGGGCCCUCCUCUGGAGUAACUUGAUGGAGCGUUAUUGCAUUUGGCAGGGUGGCAGGAAUGAAGGAUCUCAUGCUCUGCUGCUGUUUUCUCUAUUUUUUUCUCCACUCUCUCUCGCUGUUCUGGCUCCAGAGUUGCUCUCCACAGCAGGAGCAGCCUCCCUGCUGCCUCUCCUCAAAGCCAGCCCUUCCCAUGAUUUUCUGGAGAUUUCUCCUUUCCGUUGCAGGUGACGUGAGACAGGGCAGCAGGAGAGGAGUGACAGCGACCAGAGAAAGCCUUCGGUGUGCCCCUGUGUUAGCAAGGAAAGUCAAAUAGGUGGUGCAUUCAAUCCAGCGAUGGGUGCAGCCUGCUGGCUUUGCUGCAGGUAAGAGCUGGAUGGAAGGGCAGAAACCUCGCUCAGAGGGCAGUUCCUCGUGCCCCUCUGGCCACAAAACACCCGAGGAGUUCAGCUGCCAGCCAGCGCGUUCCAAGCCAGAGCAACCAGGGUCGGAUUCAGACCCGUAGAUCUACAUCACAAAUGAAUCUCGCCCACGUUUUGGUUCCUUGCUCUCCGAACAAGUCCCAGCCCGAAGAUGCUGAGCAGGUGGAGAAGGGAAGAGCGGAGGGGAGCCGCCAGGAACUGUCGCUCCAGGCCGCAAGUUGGGUUCUGUCCCAGAUCUCCAGGGAAUCGCCGCCCCGAUGUCGUGCCGCAUCUCAGCUGGUUCUGAGCAGGCGAAGCAGGCUCACAGAGAUAUUUAGGCUCCUCGCACCCAGUAAAAAAUAAACAGGAAUUAGGCACCUGAAUGCGUGGAGAGCCUGGGCUGCAGAGCUCGCAGAGAAAUGAAUGAAAGCCCAGAAGAAUCACAGGUGAGUACAGGAAUAAUUUCCAGGGGUGAGUUGCACCCAAGGGGUGCUGAGCAGAAUACCCCAGCUGUGCCUGUUUACAGGGUGCGUUUUCCUUACAUCUCUGCACGUGCACAAGGUUUCUGAGAUCCCUUUAUGGGAUCUCCGUGGUCCCUCCCAUGCUUUGUUUUUCCCUUGGUUUAACUAAAAAUCGGUUUCCACACCAGAAGUCAGUUUUCAAGUUGCCACCUAUUAGCUUUCCCUCAUGCUGAGCACCAUUAUCUCACCCAUAUUGGGGCGAGGCUUGUGGUCCAUUCACAGCUCCAAAAAUGAGGAGUCAGCACCCCACAUCCAGCGGAGCGUCACCUCAUCAUCAAGCAACGCUUUGGAGUGGAGAUUUUUAAUGUAUUUGUAAUAAAGCACAAGUGUAGUGACGUGGAAUGAACGGGAAAAAAUGCUUUUUAUAAUUGUAACCGUAUGGGAAAAUUAAAACUACCUGUGACAUGGUUUUGUCGGUGUAAAUUUUAAGUUUUCCAGGGGAUGUAAGGGGUUUCUCCGCUCUGGCUGCCCUCCAGCUGCGCCUGCAGCAGCUGACCCCAAAUCAGGGAAUUUGCCCUUGCAAGAGGAGAGCCAUCGUGACUCUCUCCCCUGCAGGACCGAAUGUGGAAGACGUAACUCGGUGCUGGAGGAACCCUUCUUAAUCCUCUGAUCUGACCUUCCACAUAACAUAGGUUGAGGAAUUUCACCCGCUCGCAUCUGCACCAUCUGAGGCAUUUCCAACGUCAUUUUCUUGAAGUAUUUGCUAUUCCCACGCGCUCUGGUAAAUCUUUAAACUGAUCUGCCUCUUUUUUUUUUUUUUUUUUUCCUGAUGUCUGGGCAGAAAAACACUGAAAACAACUAUCAGUGUAGCUGAAUGGGAUAUCUUUACUUAAACACACCGGGAACUCCUCGUAUCUCCCCCGGAGAGCGCAGCAAGUAGGUAAAAAGCUAAGGCUCUGACCUUCAGCAUAUUGGCACGCAUCGUGGCCACCUCCUUGCUUCCAGGAGCAGGAAGCCUCGUGUGCCCAGCUCUGCUUUCCCUGCUGGGAGCAGCUAGCACAGUGUCAGCACAGCCUGUGAAAUCUUGUGGUCCUGCGUCUGAUGCUCAGCUACCCCAGCGCCUCCCGGAUCCCCUGGGUGAAUCGCUCUCUCCUGUUGUGCCGGAGGAAAAUACGGCAAUUAAAUGAAAAUUAAUAAUAAAUAAACGCAUUUUAAAAAAAGCUACCCACAGGCCACGAUGGAAAAUGAAUCCCUGAGGAAACAAAGCCGGAGG